rnacentral:lncRNA from 1 species
AGCUUCGCCAACUAGGACAGGGUCACCACAACAGCAUAUGCCAAUUACUGUGGGCCCUUUUUACCUAACCCACCCUGUCAACUUUUCCCUGUGGGAGGAAACCGGAGUACCCGGGGAAAACCCACGGCGUUCGGCAGAGCGUUGACUUUUACUCUUUUCACAUGGGGACUGGGUUCGAGUCGCACUGAGAAAGUACUUAGUGAGAUUCGAACCUGCAGCCUCAGAGGUGAAAGGCAAGUGCGCUAACCACUUGGCCACCGU